CAUAAUUUAUAAUAAUAGUACUUUAUGGUGUAUUUAUAUUCUAAUGUGGCCAAAUAAAUUCAUUUUCACCGUGGACUUUGCAUUAAUACUAAAGAUUAAUAAUUAUUGGUCAGCGAAUCGUUGUAUGAAUUGAAUGAUAAACUUUUUUUUUAUUGUACAUGUCACUUUUUAAUAAGCUUUAGAUCAAAUCUUUAAUGUCAGCUUAAUGUAUUGUACAAUGUAGACAUUCGCUUUAAAGGUCGCGUUCAAAUUUUAAUUAUAGAAUUUAAGUGUAGAAUACUUUGAAAUAUUAGAGGUAACUUAAAAUUAGCCAAGGAAAAGGCCGCCGCCACGGUUAAUGGAUCCUCCAAGGUGAGCGCCACCCAAUCCAAUUCCGGCACUUCCAGAGUUCCCGCCGAGAUUGCCACCAAGGCUUAGACCAUUUCCUCCCAGACUGAUACUUCCCUGGCGAUAUCCUCCUUGGCUGGCAGAUCCGCUCGAUCCCAAGGAGGCAGUGCUACCACCGAGAGAGAGACUUCCCGAACCCACAGCAGGGGUCAGUAUACCACUGGCGACUCCAUGGGCCAGAGACGCAGCCUCGUGGGCACCGGCUAGUCCAAUCGAUCCAGCUGUGUUAGAGUUGUGUCCGUUUGCUCCUAUUGACAGGCCAUUUGUUCCAAGUGAAGCAGAUCCUGAAUUUCCAGAGGUUCCGAUACUCAAAUGUCCGGCGUUGAUCUUGGAUGAUCCGGCGCCAGAGCCAGUAGAUCCAGAGAUUCCAACUGAUCCGAUGCUCAAGUGACCAGAUGAUCCAGUGCCAGAGGAUCCCUUAGAAGCGGAAUCAGUUGAUCCAAUGCUCAGAUGUCCGACACCAAUAGAUGCAGCUUGAGAGGAACCGGUACUUCCAGCAGAUUGGAUAUUUAGAUGACCAGCUUCGAUGGAGGCAGAACCUGAUCCGGUGUGCAGGGAACUAGAUCCCGAUGACUCAACUUUCUUGUGCUCUGUCUUGAUGUGGGCAGAUCCAGUGUGUGAUCCAGAGGCUCCAGAACCAGCAGAUCCUGAGAUUCCAGCUGAUCCGAUGCUCAAGUGGCCAGAUGAACCGAGGGCAGAGGAUCCCUUAGAGGCGGAAUCAGUUGCUCCAAUGUUCAGGUGUCCUACACCAAUAGAUGCGUGGUUUGAAGCAGCUUCGGAGGAUCCGGUAGUUCCGGCAGAUUGGACAUUCAGAUGACCAGCACCGAUGGAAGCAGAACCUGAUCCGGCGUGCAUAGAGCUUGAUCCCGAUGACUCAACUUUCUUGUUUUCUGUCUUGAUGUGGGCAGAUGCAGCGUGCGUUCCAGAGGCUCCAAUGGUUGCGGAUCCAGAACUAAUGUGGGAUUGACCAGCACUGAAUUUGGAUGAUUCGGUUUUUGAGGAAUAAGUGGAUGAAUGCCCAGAAGAGACCAUCGUGGACUCAGAUUUAUGAUAUGAAGAAGAAGUUUUCUUUUCACUGGCUCCAGUGGCGUCUACAUUAAUGUGGCCAGCAGUGCCGGAAUUCGAGCCAGAGGUUUCGAUUUUCCCAUGUCCAGCUGUGAUCUUAGCAGAACCAGCCUGAACAGAUCCAGUAUGGUGUGCACCAGUUGACGAAGAUCCAGUGAUUUUGGCAUUGCCAAGGGAGCCUGAGCUGGAUCCGGAAAUUCCAGAUGAUCCGAUGCUCAAGUGACCAGAAUUGGCUCCGGAACCAGAGGUUGCACCGUUGACAACGCCACUGGCAACUGUGUCUGCUGCCUGAGCUCCAUGAGCGGCAGUAAUUGUUCCUGCGGAAUGGAUAACAUUGGCUCCGGUUCCUGCAACUCCCAAAACUCCGUUGACAACCUGUGCUCCAUGAGCGGCACCUGUCGAUCCUGCUGCUCCAGCUUCCGCUGCAUUCAGCACUGCAUUGGCUGCAUUAACAGUUGCUGAUCCGGCGCUAUGAUGAAGGUCACUGGAACCCGAGACGCCGGAAGUGCCGAUGGUCAAGUGUGCAGUAUUCGUCUUGCUACCACUGUUGCCAGAGGUUUGAAUAUUCAAAUGUCCAACUCCUAGGGAAGCAGAUCCUGACCCACUGUGCUGAGAAGACGCUUUGUGUACCUCAUCCGCCGCCGUUACACCUGCAGAAUGCACAGCAUUGACUCCAGUCGCAGCAGCUCCCAAAACUCCGUGAGCAGCAUGUGCUCCGUAAGAUGCGGCCGUCGAUCCUGCCGAGUGCACAACAUUAGCUCCAGUUCCGGCCACUCCCAAAAUUCCGUUCACUGCCUGAGCUCCGUGAGCAGCAGCUGUUGAUCCCGCUGAAUGGAUUGCAUCUACUCCAGAUCCAGUUGCUCCUAGCACUCCAUGGGCAGCCUGAGCUCCGUGAUUGGCAGCUGCGGAUCCGGCGGAAUGAACGACAUUGGCUCCAGUCGAAGCAGCGCCCAAUAUCCCGUUCACUGCCUGAGCUCCGUGAGCAGCAGCUGUUGAUCCCGCAGAGUGGACGGCAUCUACUCCAGAUCCAGCUGCUCCUAGCACUGCAUUGGCAGCCUGAGCUCCGUGAUUGGCAGCUGCGGAUCCGGCGGAAUGAACGACAUUGGCUCCAGUCGAAGCAGCGCCCAAUAUCCCGUUCACUGCCUGAGCUCCGUGAGCAGCAGCUGUUGAUCCCGCAGAAUGGACGGCAUCUACUCCAGAUCCAGCUGCUCCUAGCACUGCAUUGGCAGCCUGAGCUCCGUGACUAGCAGCUGCGGAUCCGGCAGAGUGGACGACAUUGGCUCCAGUCGAAGCAGCGCCCAGAAUGCCAUUGGCAGCCUGAUUCAGAACCGAUCCAGAAGAUCCUCUGUUGUAUUCCCCACCCAGACUCAAUCCAGGCAGACUUGCUUGAGCCGAGCCACCACCGUUUCCGCCUCCAAAUCCAAGGCUAGCACCACCGAAGCCCAGUCCGAAUCCGGCGGAUGCCAAGGAUACGCAGCAGGCAGUUAGAAGUAAAUACAAUCCCGUGGGAGCCAUUGUCUCAAUUUUACUAACUGCUUUCCGAGAAAACGGCUUGCUUUUAUAGAACCGAAAAUGCGCCUAGCAGUAAUGACGUCAAAGCCACUACAGGCAAGCUUCGCUACCUCGAAAAGCUCCAAAUAAAUUAGAAUUUGUUAAAACUUCAUUUCAUUUCGACAUCUUAAAGAU
ensembl:ncRNA asRNA:CR44181 antisense RNA:CR44181